rnacentral:rRNA from 1 species
CCGGGGCAUCCCGGAGGCAGGAAAGGCUUCGGCCGGACAGGGAUGGGCAUGCGGCGCAUUAGGCAGUAGGCGGGGUAACGGCCCACCUAACCGACGAUGCGUAGGGGUUCUGAGAGGAAGGUCCCCCACACUGGUACUGAGACACGGACCAGACUCCUACGGGAGGCAGCAGUGAGGAAUAUUGGUCAAUGGUCGGGAGACUGAACCAGCCAAGCCGCGUGAGGGAUGAAGGUACAGAGUAUCGUAAACCUCUUUUGUCAGGGAACAAAGGCGGGGACGUGUCCCCGGAUGAGUGUACCUGAAGAAAAAGCAUCGGCUAACUCCGUGCCAGCAGCCGCGGUAAUACGGAGGAUGCGAGCGUUAUCCGGAUUUAUUGGGUUUAAAGGGUGCGCAGGCGGUCUGUUAAGUCAGCGGUCAAAGCCCGGGGCUCAACCCCGGCCCGCCGUUGAAACUGGCAGUCUCGAGUUGGAGAGAAGUAUGCGGAAUGCGCGGUGUAGCGGUGAAAUGCAUAGAUAUCGCGCAGAACUCCGAUUGCGAAGGCAGCAUGCCGGCUCCACACUGACGCUGAGGCACGAAAGCGUGGGUAUCGAACAGGAUUAGAUACCCUGGUAGUCCACGCAGUAAACGAUGAAUGCUGGCUGUCCGGG